rnacentral:rRNA from 1 species
UACGUAGGGUGCAAGCGUUGUCCGGAAUUAUUGGGCGUAAAGAGCUCGUAGGCGGUUUGUCGCGUCUGCUGUGAAAACUCGGGGCUUAACCCCGGGCCUGCAGUGGGUACGGGCAGACUAGAGUGCGGUAGGGGAGACUGGAAUUCCUGGUGUAGCGGUGAAAUGCGCAGAGAUCGGGAGGAACACCCGUAGCGAAGGCGGCGCUCUGGGCCGGUACUGACGCUGAGGAGCGAAAGCGUGGGGAGCAAACAGG